rnacentral:rRNA from 1 species
AAAUUGAAGAGUUUGAUCAUGGCUCAGAUUGAACGCUGGCGGCAGGCCUAACACAUGCAAGUCGAGCGGAAACGAGUUAACUGAACCUUCGGGGGACGUUAACGGCGUCGAGCGGCGGACGGGUGAGUAAUGCCUAGGAAAUUGCCCUGAUGUGGGGGAUAACCAUUGGAAACGAUGGCUAAUACCGCAUGAUGCCUACGGGCCAAAGAGGGGGGACCUUCGGGCCUCUCGCGUCAGGAUAUGCCUAGGUGGGAUUAGCUAGUUGGUGAGGUAAGGGCUCACCAAGGCGACGAUCCCUAGCUGGUCUGAGAGGAUGAUCAGCCACACUGGAACUGAGACACGGUCCAGACUCCUACGGGAGGCAGCAGUGGGGAAUAUUGCACAAUGGGCGCAAGCCUGAUGCAGCCAUGCCGCGUGUGUGAAGAAGGCCUUCGGGUUGUAAAGCACUUUCAGUCGUGAGGAAGGUAGUGUAGUUAAUAGCUGCAUUAUUUGACGUUAGCGACAGAAGAAGCACCGGCUAACUCCGUGCCAGCAGCCGCGGUAAUACGGAGGGUGCGAGCGUUAAUCGGAAUUACUGGGCGUAAAGCGCAUGCAGGUGGUUUGUUAAGUCAGAUGUGAAAGCCCGGGGCUCAACCUCGGAAUAGCAUUUGAAACUGGCAGACUAGAGUACUGUAGAGGGGGGUAGAAUUUCAGGUGUAGCGGUGAAAUGCGUAGAGAUCUGAAGGAAUACCGGUGGCGAAGGCGGCCCCCUGGACAGAUACUGACACUCAGAUGCGAAAGCGUGGGGAGCAAACAGGAUUAGAUACCCUGGUAGUCCACGCCGUAAACGAUGUCUACUUGGAGGUUGUGGCCUUGAGCCGUGGCUUUCGGAGCUAACGCGUUAAGUAGACCGCCUGGGGAGUACGGUCGCAAGAUUAAAACUCAAAUGAAUUGACGGGGGCCCGCACAAGCGGUGGAGCAUGUGGUUUAAUUCGAUGCAACGCGAAGAACCUUACCUACUCUUGACAUCCAGAGAACUUUUCAGAGAUGAAUUGGUGCCUUCGGGAACUCUGAGACAGGUGCUGCAUGGCUGUCGUCAGCUCGUGUUGUGAAAUGUUGGGUUAAGUCCCGCAACGAGCGCAACCCUUAUCCUUGUUUGCCAGCGAGUAAUGUCGGGAACUCCAGGGAGACUGCCGGUGAUAAACCGGAGGAAGGUGGGGACGACGUCAAGUCAUCAUGGCCCUUACGAGUAGGGCUACACACGUGCUACAAUGGCGCAUACAGAGGGCGGCCAACUUGCGAAAGUGAGCGAAUCCCAAAAAGUGCGUCGUAGUCCGGAUUGGAGUCUGCAACUCGACUCCAUGAAGUCGGAAUCGCUAGUAAUCGUGGAUCAGAAUGCCACGGUGAAUACGUUCCCGGGCCUUGUACACACCGCCCGUCACACCAUGGGAGUGGGCUGCAAAAGAAGUAGGUAGUUUAACCUUCGGGGGGACGCUUACCACUUUGUGGUUCAUGACUGGGGUGAAGUCGUAACAAGGUAGCGCUAGGGGAACCUGGCGCUGGAUCACCUCCUUAUACGAUGAU